AUUGACCGCUGGCGGCAUGCCUUACACAUGCAAGUCGAACGAGUGGCGGACGGGUGAGUACUGUCUGGGCACCUGCCUGAUGGAGGGGGAUAACUACUGGAAACGGUAGCUAAUACCGCAUACCAUCAGAUGUGCCCAGAUGGGCUUAGCUAGUUGGUGGGGUAAGGGCUCACCAAGGCGACGAGCCCUCGCUGGUCUGAGAGGAUGACCAGACACAGUGGAACUGAGACACGGGCCAGACGCCGACGGGAGGCAGCAGUGGGGAAUAGUGCACAAUGGGCGCAAGCCUGAUGCAGCCAUGCUGCGUGUAUGAAGAAGGCCGUCGGGUUGUAAAGUACUGGCAGCGGGGAGGCGUUACCCGCAGAAGAAGCACCGGCUAACUCCGUGCCAGCAGCCGCGGUAAUAC
rnacentral:rRNA from 1 species